rnacentral:rRNA from 1 species
GGGUCAGUAGGUUGGUCGUGCCACCGGUACGUACUGGUCCCACUGAUUCCUCCUUCCUGAAGAACCGUAAUGCCCUUAAUUUGGUGUUGCGGGGAAACAGGACUGUUACUUUGAAAAAAUUAGCGUGUUUAAAGCAAGCUAACGCUUGAAUACAUUAGCAUGGAAUAAUGAAAUAGGACGAUCGAUCCUAUUUUGUUGGUUUCUAGGAUUGACGUA